CAGGCUUAACACAUGCAAGUCGAGGGGCAGCAUGGUCUUAGCUUGCUAAGGCCGAUGGCGACCGGCGCACGGGUGAGUAACACGUAUCCAACCUGCCGUCUACUCUUGGACAGCCUUCUGAAAGGAAGAUUAAUACAAGAUGGCAUCAUGAGUCCGCAUGUUCACAUGAUUAAAGGUAUUCCGGUAGACGAUGGGGAUGCGUUCCAUUAGAUAGUAGGCGGGGUAACGGCCCACCUAGUCUUCGAUGGGUAGGGGUUCUGAGAGGAAGGUUCCCCACAUUGGAACUGAGACACGGUCCAAACUCCUACGGGAGGCAGCAGUGAGGAAUAUUGGUCAAUGGGCGAGAGCCUGAACCAGCCAAGUAGCGUGAAGGAUGACUGCCCUAUGGGUUGUAAACUUCUUUUAUAAAGGAAUAAAGUCGGGUAUGGAUACCCGUUUGCAUGUACUUUAUGAAUAAGGAUCGGCUAACUCCGUGCCAGCAGCCGCGGUAAUACGGAGGAUCCGAGCGUUAUCCGGAUUUAUUGGGUUUAAAGGGAGCGUAGAUGGAUGUUUAAGUCAGUUGUGAAAGUUUGCGGCUCAACCGUAAAAUUGCAGUUGAUACUGGAUAUCUUGAGUGCAGUUGAGGCAGGCGGAAUUCGUGGUGUAGCGGUGAAAUGCUUAGAUAUCACGAAGAACUCCGAUUGCGAAGGCAGCCUGCUAAGCUGCAACUGACAUUGAGGCUCGAAAGUGUGGGUAUCAAACAGGAUUAGAUACCCUGGUAGUCCACACGGUAAACGAUGAAUACUCGCUGUUUGCGAUAUACAGCAAGCGGCCAAGCGAAAGCGUUAAGUAUUCCACCUGGGGAGUACGCCGGCAACGGUGAAACUCAAAGGAAUUGACGGGGGCCCGCACAAGCGGAGGAACAUGUGGUUUAAUUCGAUGAUACGCGAGGAACCUUACCCGGGCUUAAAUUGCAGAUGAAUUACGGUGAAAGCCGUAAGCCGCAAGGCAUCUGUGAAGGUGCUGCAUGGUUGUCGUCAGCUCGUGCCGUGAGGUGUCGGCUUAAGUGCCAUAACGAGCGCAACCCUUGUUGUCAGUUACUAACAGGUCAUGCUGAGGACUCUGACAAGACUGCCAUCGUAAGAUGUGAGGAAGGUGGGGAUGACGUCAAAUCAGCACGGCCCUUACGUCCGGGGCUACACACGUGUUACAAUGGGGGGUACAGAGGGCCGCUACCACGCGAGUGGAUGCCAAUCCCCAAAACCUCUCUCAGUUCGGACUGGAGUCUGCAACCCGACUCCACGAAGCUGGAUUCGCUAGUAAUCGCGCAUCAGCCACGGCGCGGUGAAUACGUUCCCGGGCCUUGUACACACCGCCCGUCAAGCCAUGGGAGCCGGGGGUACCUGAAGUGCGUAACCGCGAGGAGCGCCCUAGGGUAAAACUGGUGACUGGGGCUAAGU
rnacentral:rRNA from 1 species